UUUCAGUGAAAGAUCUUGAGAGAAUAUCAUUUCACUUCGUCUGUUCGUUCAACCAAAAGGAAAAAAAAAAAAAAAAAAAAGGUCGCGAAGCACUCGUUUACCCACAAUGCCCUGCGUCGUCUGUCAGCGUCGUCUGCACCUGUCAAGCGCAACCCACGUGCAUGACGCAUCGAAGUUUCUGUUAAACCAAUGGUGAAUUGUGCUGUGUCCGAAAGUUUUAAUCCCAGUCGAAAUACAACGAAACAGAAAACGUAAAAUGAUCUGGCAAGUUUAUUAAAAGAGCGAACAGCUGCCUUCGUGAGGAAUCGUCAUCCAGGGGAAAGGAGAUCGUUAAAUUCAACAGCAGUGUAAGGUGGGUGUGUCUCUCUCCCGGGGCUGAAAUAGAUACGUCGUCAUUCCACACUCGUCAGCCGCGCCAUCGGGUUGAGCGGAAGCCCAGCCUGUAACGGGAGUGCCACUUAGCCAGGUCCUGGAUCUUAGGCCAAUCCAAACUUCUGGAAACAGAGGAGGAUGAUAUUGGGACGGAGAGAUCGGCGCCGAGGUCCUUGCAAUAGAGUCUGGCGUUGCACCAGGUCAUCGAGAUGUUGUGGUAGUAGACGCAGCCGACGUUGGGGACGGUCGUGAAGGGGGCGGUGCAGUACGGGGGACCUGAAGAGAAAGAUGUGGAAAAAAAGAAAAAAUAUGGAUAGAUAGACGGACAUACCUGGCGGAGAGGUGCUGAUGGCUGUCUGUUCCCAGCAUUUCAUGGGUGUGCAGUCGCCCACAAAGUCUUCAUCGUGUUUGUAACCAAUGCCAUUGAAAACGCAGCCUGUUACAAACGUGAGGUGAGAGAUGGGAACCGGACGAGACCGAAACCGACCUCCCUGGUGUAUAUAUGUUUGCCAUAAUGCUUUGAGGAAGACGAGAGAGGUGGAAAGGUCAGAGGUCACGAAACGCAAAGGUCAGAGAUGUAUGUUAGCACCAUAAGCCGGAUUACAAUGCGGAUUUCGGUAGCAAAUUUUGACUGUGGUUUCCGAGGGAUUUUAGAAGCUCCAUCCACGCACAACGGAGGAACGAGCGUCAAAACAGCUAGUGUUUACUGUCACUUAUUAUUACAUUCGCUGUUUAUGUGCGCAUGUAGUAUUUAUUCUAUGUAAUAAACCAUUACGUCGUCAUACAUAAAAAUUACGCAGGACAACAAUAACGCUUGAA